rnacentral:rRNA from 1 species
CGGGCUUGAACUGCCGGUGAACGAUACAGAGAUGUUGAGGUCCUUCGGGACGCCGGUGGAGGUGCUGCAUGGUUGUCGUCAGCUCGUGCCGUGAGGUGUCGGCUUAAGUGCCAUAACGAGCGCAACCCUCGCCUUCAGUUGCCAUCAGGUCAUGCUGGGCACUCUGUAGGUACUGCCACCGCAAGGUGUGAGGAAGGUGGGGAUGACGUCAAAUCAGCACGGCCCUUACGUCCGGGGCUACACACGUGUUACAAUGGCGUGCACAGAGAGUCGGCCUGCGGCAACGCAGGUCCAAUCCUUAAAACACGUCUCAGUUCGGAUUGGGGUCUGCAACCCGACCCCAUGAAGCUGGAUUCGCUAGUAAUCGCGCAUCAGCCAUGGCGCGGUGAAUACGUUCCCGGGCC